CAUGUAUAUGGAGUGCGUAGAGCUCUGCUUCCCAAUUAAAUCAAGUUGUUAUUUUAAAUAUAAUUAAUCUGUGUUAGUAAUGAAAAUACACCAACAGAAUGCAAGCUAAGUGCUUAACAAAAUCUUACGGACUCUUCCAGCCCAUAUAGGAAACAAAACAUCUGUAUGUAAAUAUUACUCUUGAUGAGUUAGGCUGUUUCCUGAAUCCGGUAAUGUAGUCUGUACCUAGUACUGACACAGAAGAAAUCAGCGGAAAUCACUGUGCUCAAAAGUAAUGUAACACUUAGGCAAUAAGGUUCUCUUAAAAACAAACCUUUAAGACACAGUGUAGAACUUGCACUGAGAUAGGACAGUCCUGGGCAAUCACUUAAAUCAAGCAUAGCUCAUACCGUCUGAUGAAAGCAGUAGGAUAUAUGUCCUGCAUCUUCUGCACACAGAUUCCUAUGUAUCAAGGCCUUGACUGAUGCUCUUUCUGGAGAUUAGUCUUCAGCAAUCUAAGUUCAAAAGCCUGAUAGCUCCUUCAAUCUCCCUUUUCAUUUUGCUCUUGUAUCUGUGUUAUCUCACAUCUACCUGCAAUUGCAAAGGCGGUCUUUUUUCUUCUGCAUAUUCUUUUGAGGUUUAAAUUGUUGGUGCAGGAAAUGGGAACACAGAAGAGAGAAGUUUUGCUACAUACAGACUUCCAAAAUGAAUUCAGUUUUACAGUUAGUUAAAAAUUAUCUGCAUAUGGAGGUGUCCAGUGCUUUUACCUGCACAGAUCUUCAAGGAAACUGGUACUUGUUUUGUUCAUAGCCUUACUUGUGCUGAAAUAUACGGGGUUAGGGUUGUGCAAGUUGGGAAGAAAAAAGAAAGCCUGGGUUACUUAGCCUUUUUUAUGCCUUUCUAAUGCCCAGUACUGUUAUAGUCAUUCUGCUCCCCGCAUCACUUAUCAUUGAUUUCUCAUGUUAGAAGUGUGCUUUGCUCAGCAGCUGAAGGUUUAUUCCUGAGUAUUUUUAACCUUCUGCCAGAUGGUUUCUGCUAAAUUCUGGAAAACAGACAAACAAACAAAAACCUGCGUAGAGGUUUAACCUUAAAUACGAGCCUUCUCAAUUUAUCCCCAAGCUAAGCAUAGGUCAGUGGCAUACAUUUCUGCAGUCUUGACAAAUCCAGUAGGUGAUUCCUUAAACAAACACAAACCCAAGCAGAGGCAAUAUUUGCACAGAUAGCUAUCAAGUCAAAAUAAGCUCUGUUUUCAUUACAGAACACAGUGCAAGAUGCACAUCCAGCCUCCGAACAGAAACACAUUUCUUCUGGUAUUUCAGCCCUAGAUCAUAUUGAAGGAUGCCUGUGCCCACAUAAAAAAAGUUGAAAAGCUAUGUGUAAUGAGAAGCAGGAUAUUCUCUCGUUCAUCACUGUUAGGGAGCUGCAUGCCUUCUAAUGUUCAAGCUGGAUCAUAUAGCUCUGUAGCUACACAAUAAGUAAGUAAACAUUGAAUCGCCCCUCUUCCUGUCCCUGCUUCUUCCUCCCUGACCCUCAGAGGAACUGUGGAAAUAUUGUAAGAGAGGGAAAAAAGACAGCUUACAUUUGCUAGAAUUUAGCUUCUGGCAAGCGACAUUAUAAGGAAUUCAUUUCCUGGCACAUAAUUUACGUGUCCAGUCCUCCCACCCACUCUUUUUUUUUCUCCCACCCUACCCCCACAUCCCUCCCCCAAGCUGCCUGCUCUGCAGUGUUCCCGCAGCUUCCUGCCUCAUGUUUGCUUUCUAUUUUCAUAUCCAUGGGAAAGGAAUCUGCUUCAGCAGGGGCUGCUGUCCUGCCUGCACCAGCCAGCCGGGUCUGCCACCUUUAGCUGAGGCCACAGAUGCAGUUUAGGUUCCUGUAUGUUGUAUGAAUGAGAAAAUCUUGAUCUAUCAGUCAUGCUUUGGACAUCAGUUACUGCUGUGUCUUCAAAGAUAAGGCAUCUACACACAGACAAGGCUUCUUCAAAGAGCUUGAAUGUCUACAACAUGCUGCUUGGACUCUGGAAUCAAGUCCUUCCUUCAAGAGAAUUUUUUGCAGGAAGUUCAGAAGUGUUUGAACAGUAUCUGAAUGCUUGCUGAGAGCUUACCUAAAGGAAAGAAACUGGCAACUGAACUCCUGGAAAAAGCUGUCUUAGAGUCUUUGGAGGUUUAUUGUCCUGAUGGACUAUAUAUUGUCUUGAGCACUAUAACUUAGAACUUAGUUGUCUCUAAAUUUCUCAUCAUUUUUAACACAGCUGACCUUUAGACAAGGAAAUACAUUCACAUCUCACCUCUUCAUAGUUAUUUCCCUGGAAGGUGACCCUAAUCCAUAUUUUAGGUUCUUAUUUAUAUCCAUUGCAGGCAUUGCUUUGUGGUGAAACACUGAGUUCUGCAAGGCCCACCUAUUAGUGUGCCAAAAGGAACACCCAUACCCAAUACAUGAGGAAAACCAACUUUUGCUAAUUGCUUUGGUCUGCUUAUGAUAUUCUAAAGCUGUCUGCCAUGCCCAGGAAAAAUGAUUUGUUCUUGGAAAUAUUAGAACUCUUUCCAAGAUAUUUCACUCUCCUUUUCAGAAACCAGCAGGACAAAUCAUAUUGUGUUGGAUAAUAUACUUACUAGAAAGAUUUUAGUGCUUGUAUAAUUUGUUUCUGUCCUAUUUUGAGCAACAUAGCAGCAUCUGUAAUACAUUCUCCUUCUUCAGUCCCUCUUGUAAAGAUGGGGUAGAUUCUUCAGAGGUAGCUGGUUUAAUUGGGAAUAGUACCGACUUACUGGCACUAUGAAUGCAUAUAAUUCAUUAUUCAGUGUCCUGGAAAGUCAUUCUUGUACACUUACUCAUAUUUUUCUGGUUUUAAACCAUCUCAUCACUUCUAUAUAAGGCAAAAUCAGGUCUUGACACACUUCUCAAAAUUGUGACAUAUCUUUGGGAGACUGUUUUCUAACUGCAAGUUUCUGUUCUUACUAAGUUUCCCUAGAAAUUUUAGGUUUAUCGUCUUCUGUUUUUUUGUUUUUUUGUUUGGUUUUUUUGUUUGUUUGUUUGUUUUUGUUUGUUUGUUUUUUCCAGAAACUCAAGGGAAUCCAUAGCCAUAGGAAUAUAUUAAUGAAUUGGGACUGCUUUCUCAUGGGAAUUUACUUUAUCAAUUUGGUUAGUUUCUGAAGAAAAUAAACCACCACCAACAGAAAACGAACACACUUGUUUUUAGGUUGGAAGCUAAAAAUCAGACACAACUAUAUAGGAGAAAUGAUGGAAAGGGCUGACAAAAUGGGACAUGAUAGAAGGGAACAGCUAGGCUUUCUUUCUGUCUUUAGUGAAAUGUUAGUCCCUAUUUUACCCCAAUACUACAACUCUUGUUUUCACAAGGAACUACAUUUCUGUGUUCCUUGAUGGCAGAAAUAAAACCCAGUGAUCUGAGAUGUUUUUCUGAAAAAAAGACAAAAAGUAGAAAUUUUCUUUGACGAAGUGUCCUUCUAAAGACCUAUAGAUAACUGGAUAUUGUAAACAACCUAAUAUUUCUUGCAUUGUGUGCUGGCUAGUUUCUAAAAUAUCGAGGGAGUUGAUAUAACACUACAGUGUCUAGGCACUUGUGUUUAUUCUCAGCUUUUGGAGAAGAAGCAGAUAGAUUUGUCUCUAGUCCAUAGCUUUUAUAGGUUUCCAUAGUAGUAAUAUGUUUUUGUUUGGAUUAAUUGCACACAUUUAAUAGAAAAACAUAUCUAUUUUGAAUGCAAUUUAUAUUUAAAAAUUAUACUUUAAUACUUACUGGUUUAUGAUAAAGUUAAAUGUUGAAGUAUAGAGAAACAUAAGAAUAGGUUUCAAAAUUGUAGCUGCAACAUGGGUUUGUCAAGAUUAUAAACAAAGAGUAAAUGCAGUGUGCUUUGCUGGCUCUUCUGUCAUUGUGGAAAUACAGAGAAGCAUCUUGUGGCUGAUGUAACUCCCACAUAUAAGUAAAGAAUUCUCUAGUAAUUAUUUUCUGUCAGUGGAUUGAUAAUGAUUUGAUCUUCAUGCAGCCUGGGUAUGUUGUUACCUUCCCGGGCAGUAAGUUGUUAGCCUUCUGAGGUGUGUCAAAUGGAGCAGCUGACACCACCUAGGGUUAUUGUGGUAUUUGCAUGGUCACUAAGGAAUGGAUGAGAUAGUCAGACUUGAUGAGAUGGUGCCCAUUGAGGCUGGUCCUGCUGCCGCCCAGGAGACCUCUGGGUUCCUCUAGCUACUACGGGGCCAACAGAGCAGUCACUGUGCCAGGCGCUAGACAAAAAGUCAGACAGCUGCUUUCUGUAAGAUGAAAAAUGAGAUGGAAGAGUUCAGUGAUUAAGGCAGUGGUCAAAGAGAUUAAUGUGACCAAACAGAGACACUAAACUGACCAGACAUAAUUCACGAACUAGUAUUACUGAAGAUAACACGACAAAAUGCUCAGGCCUAGUGAGAUCUAUUUUUGAUGUACUGGCGUCUGAACAAGAAAACUGGAAUUAAUAGUCAUAUAAUUUGUUUCCCACUCCCACUCCUCUUAAAUUAUUGAGCAGAGCUCAUGGGAGAGCUCAGAGGCUCAAUGCCAAGGCCAGUGAAAACUGAUCCAUUUCAGCUUGCAUAUGACUGAGGAGAUGGAUUUUAGAGAAAGUGUGGCAAAAGCCUUGCAUUUCCUCUGAUGAAUAUUCUACAAUUGAUCUCUCAAAGAUGGCAGAUGGGAAAUAGAGCAAAACUUUUAUAAUGCAGUGGGACAGAGAGGGACACUUCCAAACCUAGCAAAUAAAAAGAGAAAACUAUAGCAAAAAGUGCACCUUUGUAAAACAAUGGACCAUGAGCUUAGCUGUAAUGAUCAAGCUUUCCCUUUCUUUCCUUCAAUCAGCAGAAAUGUUGUCAGCCAUACAGCAAACAGAUCUCACUAAUUGCAAACAAAUUUGCAUGUGAUAAACACAUUGACCAUGGAAGCAGUGGUAGGAAUAGACAGAAGAUUUUGUAUUAAUGUAAUAAUAAUGUGAGGUAAAUAUUUUAUGCCAUGUGUAAGAUAUUGCUAUAUUCCUUCUUUUGUUGUUUUUUUGCUUGUUUUGGCUGUUAAUGUUUUAAAAUUAUGUGGGAGCUAACUAUUAGCAUUAAAAGUUGUGAUUUAGAGUCAGCUAGGAACAGUGUGUGCAUAUAUUCUUUUUCUUGCCAGCUUCAGUCUCAAAACUGUAGUUUUUAUUUCUGAAGGCUGGAUACAACCUAACAUGCUUUUCCUCCACAACUUCUGGACUGAAACUGUUGCUGAGGAAACAGAUGCAUCUUUUCCUAUCUGCAUAAAUCUGAUUCAAACAAUCAUACUGGGUUUUACAUCAGCUUGGCUAAAUUGGCUCACAAUUUAAAUCAGUACAAGACACAGGAAAUGCUUCUAGGUUUUAGAAAUACAGGUUUCACACAAUGCCUGCCCAGGGCUGUGGAGCAGCUGUCUAAGCAUGGAAAGGCCAUUCUACUUCUAACUGACCAUUGUGAAUUAAAUUCAAGUAAAAACAACUUUAAAUACUGUCCAUAAUUUGCGCAAUAUUUUUCUGAAGUGGUACCAGAUUUUUACUAUAUUGUUUA